rnacentral:lncRNA from 1 species
GCAACUCAAUUUCAAUCAAGCUCUCCAAUCAGGUUUGCCCUUAUUCCCAUUACCUUUGAGCUUUGAAUUUGAAUACUCUGAAUGUUUGAGGUAUUAUGGGUGAAUUUGAUACCCUUUUGAUGCAUGUCUUUUUUGUGAAUUUUAAUGGCAUGACUCAUGUGGUUACUUUUUGAUUUGGGGGCAACCCUUGAUUACCCUAUUUUUUU